CCCACCCGCCCGGAUGUGGCGUCACCGCCGCGCCCUGCCGCGACAGACCCCGGGCGGGCGGCCCUCGGCGCGAGCGCGGGGCGGGGCCUUUCCCAGCCCAGCAAAGGGGGGCGGGGCAGCGCCGGGCGCGGGCUACCAUGGCAACCGGAAGGCGCGCGACAGGACGCCCUCUGCCCCGCAGCAGGUCCGCCGGGCCGCGCGGCGUCCGCCUUCACCGCGCACCCGACGCCGCCCCGGCUUCCACCCACCGCACACAGGCUCCAAACUCGGGUGCGGGGACAGGCCAGGGCUUGCUGGGCCCCAGCCUCAGAAGAGCCCGGCUCUGCAGCCUCCGCUCCGCUCCGGGUGGGCCCAGGUGAGAAAGAUUUUAUCAGGAAGGAGUCCUCUCUUACAGAUCACUGUUACCAGACCUUUUGUGCAACAGCCACGUGAGUGCCUAGCAAACGUCCUGUGGAACCGAGCCUCUGUUCGGUGAUAACUAAACAGUGUCACUGCCACUUCUACCUUCAGGUGCCCUGAGUUAGAAACUGCCUCCCAGUCCCUGCCACGUGGGACUUCUGGAAGCACAAUAGUAAAGAGACUUGAAAAUUUUACCUCCUGUUCUCUCCUCCUUGUUUGUACUGUACGCCUACCUUCCCUGUAAGCCAUCAUAACAAAUGUCUCCUCUGCUGCCACUCUCUUUUCCCCUCAAAAUUAUGGUGCGGAGCAGGACUCAGGAUUAAGACUCCUGAUCCCUGAAAUGACUGGUAGGUAAGACAGGUGCUGCCCUCAAUGCCUGGUUCUGAAGACACUCCCUCCAGAGGCUUCCUCUUCCUAUUUCCUUUUAGAAAUACUGAGCAAUGAGCUGUUUAGAGGAAACAAUUCAAACAGUAAAUAAUUUGCUUGGUAGAGUACGCUGUGUACUGUUUUUUCCCUCCUGGAACUGGGAAGGAAGAACAGGGAGUAAACUCUACCCUGAUGGCCUAAGAAUUUUUCCAGCUCCUCUCGGAGAAGUCUGGUCAGAGAGAAGAUGGAAACAGAAGUGAGACUUUGGCAUCUGGGUGAUGAGCAGCAGGGGGCGCUGUUUACCUCCCUUUGCCCUAGUGAAGCGGCCGGCGCCCUCAACGCAGACCAACCCAAGGCUGCUCGGAGCACCGCUGUAUUCUGUGAACAGAUAAUCUUCUCUUGAUCCAGGGAGACAGGUGGAUUGACUCCUGAUACCCUUUAAAGGCAUGAUGGACGGGCAGCAAAGGGCCCAGUGCUAAUGUUUUCCUGGUGACCAACAAUACAACAAUGUAUCAGCAGGUGUACGUGUCCGUCCCCCACCCCUCUCACGUCUGGUAUUACUCUUUGUCCUAACCUUGCACUCCUCUUUCCCCUUGCUUUACCCUAAUGAGCUUCUGACUUCACCUCGGGUUGAGAAGCCCUUACACACGUGAAUGUUCUUACUGCCAUUGAACUGUACCCUUAGAAGUGGUUAAAAUGGCAAACGUGAUGUAUGCUUUGUUACAAUUUUUUGAAAACGAUUUCAGACAAUUCAGGGAUGAAAAGGUGAAGCUUGUACUGACCUUGCCAUACCCUUGCCCUUUUCUUUCUUCAAGCAAUCCAGCAAAUCCUGUGCUUUCCAGAAAAGCUGCUCAGAUAACCAGAACUCCCUGUGUGAACAUGCAGUCGUUGACUCCCUCCACUCCCUCUCCUGCCCUUAUAUCCACAUCAGAGUAAUCUGCUCUGUUAGCCUCGAGGGUAGGAGCUGAGCUGUGAACUUCCCGGGACACUUGUACUGGACGCGCACCCUCCCCCUGAAGAUGCAGACAUCAUGUUGCUGGUGACUCUGACCCUUGCUCUCUGCUUUAAACCUAUUGCUUCCUCCUUAUUCAGCACUUUUUCCAAUGCCUAUAAACACUUCACUUUCCUUCUCUGAUUCUUUGAGGCAGAAAUCCCCCAACUUUUUCUGGGAAAGGCCAGACAGUACAGUUUUCCUGGCUUUGCAGGCCACAGGGUGUGUUGAGCUCCAUGGGACAAAGCCUGUAGAUGAUAUGCAAGCGAAUGGGCAUGGUGUCGUUGCAGUAAAACUGUACAAAACGAGGCUGUGACAGGAUUUAGCUCACAGGUGGAAGGUUGCUAACCCCAGCUCUGAGAAAAAAAAAAACCUUUCUUCCUGCUUCCUUCCUAGCCUAACGUAUUUCUGCCUGCUGCUCACAGCCUUCGUCCCCCACUUCUUGGCCUCGGGCACACCUCUGAGGGUACUCGCUGACUUGUAGGGAAAGCUAACAGGGGGAGAGAAGUUAAACAAGUUUUUCUACCCACAUACUACAUAUUGAAAUGGGUUUUGGUGGGUUCCUAUAUAAACAUGAGUAACUUCU